UACACGCUCCUUAGAGCCACCUCUAGAGGGCGCUAAACCCCUCAGCAGCUUUCCGGCUGUACAGUUGGAGGUGCUUGAGUCAUUGGCGUGUAAGAACAGUCUACCUGUCCCCCGGCUUAGCCGCACCACUGGCAACCUUUUUCGCUAAAGACUGGGGAUCACCCAGUGUUGCUAGCCAGGUGGACGGACAAU